rnacentral:antisense_RNA from 1 species
AAAGUGUAAUGCUUCUAAAAUAAAGUCUGAUAAUUCAGAAAGAGUGCUCAACUAAACACAUGACUAGCAGCAACAUGCUUUUGGUUUCUAGCGCCUAUCAUGCUAGAAUCCUCUUCUUCACAUUCUAGUGUGCCAACUGGUGGAGGGAUUGCGAGAGCACACAUGUGUGCCUUUCAAGUACAGGCGCAGCAUUCAACAAGAUGACAAAAAACAAAAGCCUACAAUAAUUACCUUCCAAGCGACUAUUUCCAAGGAUCUGCUGCGUCUGAAAAAUUAUAGCUAAAAAGUGCUAGGCUUAUAUACCAAAAAUGAUGGGUUUACCUCUUUUAAAACUAAAACAAAACCAUCAUAGUGUGUACCAAGCACCUCACCUCAUUUAAGAAAAUGUCAUUUUUCACCAAAGUCACUUGACUGUACUGAAAACCAUGCUCAGAUGAAGAGUCCAAGUAAGAAGUAUGAAGGAGUGAAACUGCCCUCUGGAAGAGAGAGUCUGAACUCAAGGACACUGUCUCAAAAACUGUAAAACACAAACAAAAAUAACGCAGCUAUUUAAGAUACCAAAGGAUGGGGUUAAGGGAGACACACUGAAUGUCACUCAAAACAUCACCUAUUCCUUUCCUAUAUAACUAAGAAAUACUUGUACUGUCUUAACAAAAUUUAAAAGACCUCUGAUGUAAAGAAAAUAACCUAAAUAAAUUACAACUGAAGCUGAAUUACUUUUAAUAUAGGAGCUAAAA